UAGAAUUUGGUGUAUUUGGGAGCACGAAGAGUUUUGGGCUCUUAAGAGUAGGUUCAAUUCCUAUAGUUCUAG
rnacentral:tRNA from 1 species